rnacentral:rRNA from 1 species
AUUUAAUUUUGUCAAGCGAAGAAUACUCCGGGGACUACAAAGAGUUGUGUUCUUCGGCGGGCCUGUUCGGGCGCACGCACCCGGGGACCCCGCGAGCAACAUUGGUAACUUCACAUGGUUGGAGUGUAAACUCGUAAAGUUUCGUACGGUGACCUGCGGAGGGAUCAUUACCGAGUAUUCACUCCCAUACCCAAUGUGAACGUUACCAAACUGUUGCCUCGGCGGAGUCACGCCCCGGGUGCGUCGCAGCCCCGGAACCAGGCGCCCGCCGGAGGAACCAACCAAACUCUUUCUGUAGUCCCCUCGCGGACGUAUUUCUUACAGCUCUGAGCAAAAAUUCAAAAUGAAUCAAAACUUUCAACAACGGAUCUCUUGGUUCUGGCAUCGAUGAAGAACGCAGCGAAAUGCGAUAAGUAAUGUGAAUUGCAGAAUUCAGUGAAUCAUCGAAUCUUUGAACGCACAUUGCGCCCGCCAGUAUUCUGGCGGGCAUGCCUGUCCGAGCGUCAUUUCAACCCUCGAACCCCUCCGGGGGAUCGGCGUUGGGGAUCGGGACCCCUCACACGGGUGCCGGCCCCGAAAUACAGUGGCGGUCUCGCCGCAGCCUCUCCUGCGCAGUAGUUUGCACAACUCGCACCGGGAGCGCGGCGCGUCCACGUCCGUAAAACACCCAACUUUCUGAAAUGUUGACCUCGGAUCAGGUAGGAAUACCCGCUGAACUUAAGCAUAUCAGUAAGCCGGAAGGAAAA